rnacentral:SRP_RNA from 1 species
UCCAGGUGUGGUGGUGCAUUCCUGUAGUCCCAGCUACUCUGGAGGCUGAGGCUGGAGGAUCGCUUGAGCCCAGGAGUUCUGGGCUGUAGUGCACUAUGUCAAUCUGGUGUCUGCACUAAGUUCAACAUCAAUAUGGUGACCUCCCAGGAGCAGGGAACCACCAGGUUGCCUAAGGAGGGGUGAACCGGCCCAGGUCAGAAACGGAGCGGGUCAAAACUCCCGUGCUGAUCAGUAUUGGUAUCGCACCUGUGAAUAGCCCCUGCACUCCAGCCUGGGCAACAUAGCAAGACCCUGUCUCU